GCGGAUGUAGCCAAGUGGAUUAAGGUAGUGGAUUGUGAAUCCACCAUGCGCGGGUUCAAUUCCCGUCGUUCGCC
rnacentral:tRNA from 1 species